UUGCAAAAGAAUGCACCUACUAUAAAUGUAGCAAAGCUAUUUAUGGAAAAUUCUAGAUAUUAACCUAGUCUAAAUAUCAACCUCGUUGUAGGCAUCAUAUCAAGGAGAUACAAUUAGAAGACUCUAGAUGUCGCCCCGCCAGAAGAAGGUUUCUAGUAAUUUUCGUAGAUUUCAAUGAUGUGUAGCUAUAUGUAGGAAAUGUUAGCUGGAUCAAAGCAUAAAAGCAAUUGUCAUCAGUGGCAUCGCCAAUAGCAGCACCAAGUAAUUAAACAAAAGCAACGAAUGUCAUAACUACGAACCACAGUAAGAGAUAGCGAUUAGCAACGACCAAACCAACUAACAACGACCACAUUCAUAUCGAUAUGAGCAGCAACAACUACAGAAACAAGUGUAAAACCAAUAACAAUAGAUUUAAGUGAUACGAU